rnacentral:hammerhead_ribozyme from 1 species
AUCCGGCUGACGAGCCCUCAAAUAGGGCGAAACUCGCGUCCUGGAU